rnacentral:rRNA from 1 species
UGAGUAACCUGCCCUUAACUCUGGGAUAAGCCUGGGAAACUGGGUCUAAUACCGGAUAUGACUCCUCAUCGCAUGGUGGGGGGUGGAAGCUUUAUUGUGGUUUUGGAUGGACUCGCGGCCUAUCAGCUUGUUGGUGAGGUAAUGGCUCACCAAGGCGACGACGGGUAGCCGGCCUGAGAGGGUGACCGGCCACACUGGGACUGAGACACGGCCCAGACUCCUACGGGAGGCAG